rnacentral:sRNA from 1 species
CUUUUGAGGCUACUGAUGUUGCUGUAGCUUGGGUGACACUAGGGCAGGUAGCAUUGAGAACACGGGAGGACAGAAGCCUCAGAAACCCUAGGGUUGAAUCUAAGCAGAGAUUAUGUUGCUGUAGAAGAAGUCUCCCUGGCCUCCUGUGUGCCAUACAACUUAUAAUUAAAAAAAUAAAACUAAGGAGUUAACAAAAAGCUGCUGACUUUUAAUUUUGCCACAUGAGAAUGUUUUAAAAAAAAGUCUUACAGGCACUACCAUCUCAUGUCACCAUCCGUUCUUUUCUCAGGAAGGAAAGAGGGUGGGAGGGAGAUGGGGAGCCAGGGUGUGUGCCCAGGGAGCCCUGGGGGCUUGAGUCACGUGACAUGGAAUCACCCACAGGGCUUUAUUUUAAUCAGAUCAUCUCAAACAUUCCGUAUAGAUUUUGUUCGCUCAUUUUUGUGGAAACACAUAACAGACAAACUUAAUUUUAUUUAUAUAGAUCAUAUCCUUCUGACUUUUGGAGAACAAAACAUAUUCUUUCUUCCAUGAACUCAUGGUGAAAUGAGAUGGUAGGGCCUGUAAUUUUUUUUUACCAUUCUCCUGUGGCAAAAAGCCAGCAGCCCUUUGUUAACUUUUUAGUUUUAUUUUUUUCUAAGUUACCUUAUUGCUCCAUGAAAUGUAACAUCUAGUCUAGAAUGAAUCAGUGCUUUCAGUGACCACAGAUAAGAGGGAGGUGACAGCACACAUCGUGCAGCGUGAGUUUGGCAGCUUUCUGAGCUCAUUCUCAUUGUUAUAGAAAGAGAAAAAUCUGAUAUUGGAGGAAAAAAUUACGACCCUGCAACAGGAAAAUGAGGACCUCCAUGUCCGAAGCCGCAACCAGGUGGUCCUGUCAAGGCAGCUCUCAGAAGACCUGCUUCUCACGCGUGAGGCCCUGGAGAAGGAGGUGCAGCUGCGGCGACAGCUCCAGCAGGAGAAGGAGGAGCUGUUGUACCGGGUCCUUGGGGCCAAUGCCUCGCCUGCCUUCCCUCUGGCCCCUGUCACUCCCACUGAGGUCUCCUUCCUCGCCACAUAGGGUGCAGGGCCUGGGCCCACCACGAUGCCUGAAGUCACAGCUCCUUCCAAGGUUUUUCUGGAGAAGACAGCAGGAGCCUCUCAGUUCUUUUCCAGGAAGGAACGAGGGUGGGAGCGAGAUGGGGAUCCUGGGUGUGUGCCCAGUGAGCCCUGGGGCCUUGAGUUACAUGGAAUCACCCACAGGGUUUUGGAGGCCCCGAGAAGCAUCUUCCCUUGAGUUGGCCAAGGGAAUAAGCAAGAGGAGACAUUUCCUCCCUCCCCCGGCACUCUGUCCCAAUCCGAGAAGUUCCGAGGCUUUCCCAGGGGCAGUCUGUGUCACGUUGGCCAUUUGACAUAAAGGAGACAGCCCCUGGUCCCAGCUUGUCAGCUCUGCUGCCAACUUGCUGACUUGUCAACUUCCUCUAGGUGUUUCCACUCCACCCUGGCCUGCUCAGAGCCUCAGUUUACCCCUGCAUUAAAAUGGUGGGGGGACUGGUCAAAGGACUCUUAUGUCACUGCAGUGUCCCAUUCUAGGAUUGUCUGAAGGCCAGAGUAGGGGUUGGGGGGAGUGUGGACAAACCCUGCAAAUCAGAGUGGGGAAGGUGAGUGGUGGAGAGGGGGUCUCUGAAGGCCCUUGGGGCUGACAGGGCCAGGCAGCCUCCCCAGCUGAGGCAUCAUUCCUGGGCCAGAGUCGUGUCCACCAAGGGACAGUAGCCAGAGCUCCUCUUCCUUUACCAGACAAGGCACAUCCCCUCAGCCCUCCUGGCUCUUCAGUCUUGGUGCCACCUGGGCACAGGGGCAAGCUUGGUGGUUGUGAGUCCACUCAUCUAUCAGAGCUAGAACCUCAUCCCUGCACAGAUGAGGAAACCAAGGCAUGGAGCAGUUCCCAGAGUCAAAUCUAGAUCUCAUCUGUCAUCCGGGUCUUAUCCUUUGCUCUGUUUUUCUCUUCAGGCUCUGGAAAAUCAGAUCUGUGACUUAAUCUUCCUCUCCCUGGCCCUCACCCACUUAGUUUCUUUUUCACUCCUGCUCCCUGCCUUAACUCCUCCUCCCACUGCCCCUGAUCCCAGGCCCAGGCUUUUACAACCUGGUGCUCAGCUUCCCCAUCAGUGAAAAGGGGUGGCUAGAGUAACUAACCUCAGCAGGCCGUCCAGUCCUGAUAGUCAGUGGAUUUCGGAUCCUUCUCAGGAAGCUUCAUGUCUAAUGGAGACUAUAAUUAUAACUCCUGUUCUGCAUAGAGCAUUUGCAUCAAAGGCUUUCCAUACCCCUCCCUCCCCUGGUCCUCAUAAGAUCCUUGAAGCAGGUUCCUAUUCCUCAUUGGCAACACGGCAAACAGAUCACAGGAGUCAAAGGGCCUUGCUCAAGGUCCCCAGCUUCAGCCCCAGGCCCUAAGCCAGCGUCAGAACAGUCAAUCUGCAUUUUUCAUCAGUCAUUCUAUAGUGACAUCAUCCCAGACUGCCUUCUGUAUUCCCCUGUGUACAGUCUCCUUCUGUUUCUAGGUUUAGAAGUUCAGAGGUGACUGUGUUUCUCCAUUUCCACAGCCAAAUGGGGGAAGAGGUGAGGCUAGGGGAGUGCUGUGCUGAUUCUCCAGCCAUGGUCAGACAGGUCACCCGGGAGCCUCGAGGAGAGCCCUGGAGGGAAUCACAUGUGUACUUUUUCAUGAAGCUUUUUGCAAAGCACAUCUGCGAUACACUAGUUUAUUGAACUAAUGUCCAGGAGUAGACAUGAUUGGUGGCCAAGUUAUUUGGGGACACCUAAACAGAUCAGUGACCUGAAUGACUUCUCAGAACCUUUAAUAUGCCAAUGUGUGUGGCAAACUUACAAGAAGGGAGCUACGUAUCCAGCCUCUCCCAAACCUCUUUGAGCAAAGCUUCUGUCCCUCCCACACCUCUCACCUCACAGGCACAUCAGGCUGCAGAAUGCGCUUUAGAAAGCAUUGUUUUAGUCCAGGCGUGGUGGCUCACACCUGUAAUCCCAGCACUUUGGGAGGCCGAGGUGGCUGGAUCACAAGGUCGGGAGAUUGAGACCAUCCUGGCUAACACGGUGAAACCCUGUCUCUACUAAAAAAAUACAAAAAAUUAGCUUGGCAUGGUGGUGGGCGCCUGUAGUCCCAGCAACUUGGGAGGCUGAGGCUGGAGAAUGGUGUGAACCCAGGAGGCGGAGCUUGCAGUGAGCCAAGAUCGUGCCACUGCACUCCAGCCUGGGUGACAGAGUGAGACUCCGUCUC